rnacentral:rRNA from 1 species
UACGUAGGCAGCAAGCGUUGUUCGGAGUUACUGGGCGUAAAGAGUGCGUAGGCGGUUUCGUAAGUUUGGUGUGAAAUCUCCCGGCUUAACUGGGAGGGUGCGCCGAAAACUGCGGGGCUGGAGUAGGGGAGAGGUAAGCGGAAUUCCUGGUGUAGCGGUGAAAUGCGUAGAUAUCAGGAGGAACACCGGCGGUGUAGACGGCUUACUGGACCCUGACUGACGCUGAGGCACGAAAGCGUGGGGAGCAAACAGG